rnacentral:rRNA from 1 species
UACGUAGGGUGCAGGCGUUAAUCGGAAUUACUGGGCGUAAAGCGUGCGCAGGCGGUUUCUUAAGUCAGAUGUGAAAGCCCCGGGCUUAACCUGGGAACUGCGUUUGAAACUGGGAGACUUGAGUGUGGCAGAGGGGGGUGGAAUUCCACGUGUAGCAGUGAAAUGCGUAGAUAUCAGGAGGAACACCGGUGGCGAAGGCGCCCACCUGGCCUGCUACUGACGCUGAAGCUCGAAAGCUAGGGGAGCAAACGGG